UCGAACUUAGUGAUAGCUGGUUGCUUGCGAAAGGAAUCUUAGUUCAACCUAGAGUCACCCCAAUACCUUAAAUAACCCCAAGACUCUAGAGCUAUUCAAAUAAGGUACAGCCUAUUUGAAACAGGAUACAACCUAGACUAACGGGCAAUUUCACAUCUAAGGCAGCCUAGUGGGCCUAAGAGCAGCCACCUUAAAACAGCGUCAAACCUUAACUGUCCAUUCACCCCAAUUUCAAACCCCACAACAAACCCUUUACCCAUACCAAGCACUUCUAUGCCUUCCCAUAGAAAAUUUUAUGUUAAAACUAGUAACAAGAAGAAAACCAUUCUCUAUAAUGCAAAUUUAAAUCAGAAAGGACCCACCACUGAUACUUACACAGCCCUAAGCCCAUAGUAGUAACCCAACAGGAAAAACCUACUCCGCUACUCUGUUAACCUAACACAAGAGCAUUACAAGAAAGAUUAAAAGAAAAAGAAGGAACUCGGCAAACACUAGCCCCGCCUGUUUACCAAAAACAUCGCCUCUUGACAAAAAUAAGAGGUCCAGCCUGCCCAGUGACAUCAGUUUAACGGCCGCGGUAUCCUAACCGUGCGAAGGUAGCGUAAUCACUUGUUUUUUAAAUAAAGACUAGUAUGAAAGGCAUCACGAGGGUCAAACUGUCUCCUUUCUCCAAUCAGUGAAACUAAUCUUCCCGUGAAGAAGCGGGAAUUAAUCUAUAAGACGAGAAGACCCCAUGGAGCUUUAAACUUACGGCAAUUGCCCUUACUUUUAUACUUCUCAUGAACAUAAACACCCGGCGCUUUGACUAAGAGUUUUAGGUUGGGGCGACCGCGGAGUAAAACUCAACCUCCAUGUUGUAUAAAAUUUUUUUACCAAAAAGCCACACCUUUAAGGAUCAACAAAUUGACAUUUAUUGACCCACCUGUAUGAUCAACGAACCAAGUUACCCUGGGGAUAACAGCGCAAUCCACUUCGAGAGCUCAUAUCGACAAGUGGGCUUACGACCUCGAUGUUGGAUCAGGGUAACCCAGUGGUGCAGCAGCUACUUAAGGUUCGUUUGUUCAACGAUUAAAUCCCUACGUGAUCUGAGUUCAGACCGGAGUAAUCCAGGUCAGUUUCUAUCUAUAAAGAGAUCUUCCUAGUACGAAAGGAUCGGAAAAUCGUGGCCUACUAAUCGCUCGAGCCAUAACAGCUAUUCAUGACACCAACUCAAAAAAUAUUAUGCCU
rnacentral:rRNA from 1 species